UUGUAGCGAGGUGGAUAGACCUAGAGCCUGUCAUACAGAGUGAACAGCAGUGGCUCCCGUUUCUCGUCCUACACCUGGUCACUACCAUGUCCUCUGCCGAGAGUGUGGAGAAACGCAGUUGGGCCAGCACGGGGAGACAUACUCCCUAGUUGGUGGCGACCGGGUCUACGGGGAUGUUCCUUUGGCCACGCCAGCAAAGGUGGAAGCAGAGAAGUCAGUCCCUAGACGUGCUCCCAAGAGAAAGCACGCUCCAGAAGAGUCGGACAAAGAUCUUGGUUGCUCCAGACCCAAAAUCCAUCGAUUGUUGCAUGGUGCCCGGAGGCGGACUCCACAGAAUCUUUCUGGCUGAGUCAUUCUGAAGAGAGGGCAAUGGUUUAACUGCCUAAGGCAGCGAAUGCCUCUUCCUGCAGUGACCCCCCCCCCCACUGCCCACUGCCACAGAUUAGAACCUGAGUCAUUCUGCCUGAGCCUUCCUCAGCCAGGAGCCUCCUUCCACACUAAAUGGCCGUAAGCAAGGAGCCUCAGAAACUGAGUUUUGAAUGAGAAUCUGCCCUGAACAUCCCAGGGCUGAACCUGGCCUGGAAGAAAACCUGACGUUCCUCUGCUCAAUCCUCAGGGGCCCCUUGGUGAGCUGAAGAAAGAAAAGCCUACACUCUGCGAGCCGAGGAGGAUGCAGGAGCACAGACAGGGUGCAGAGAAGCCUUAGCAGUCUACCACAUGGGCUCCCGCCCUGAGCCGUUGUCAGCGGCCACCACCACAAACCAGGGGGGAGCUGGGCUUUUUGAAACUGAAAGCGGCAAUCUGUGGCUUCCCAAAGAACCUCCUGCCUGGGGUCUCAGGAGGCAGGACAGAGAGACCCAGGAAGACCUGCUCCCUGAAGCAAGAACAGGAUGGAGAGUCAAGCAGCAUGCCCCCUGCCCCGAGGUUCACAUGCUCCUUUAUUGCCAGCCCUUUCUGUCCCCAGUGGGGUCACUUACUGCUCAAUAAAAUGUUUUUGUGUAACAGA